AUUGAACGCUGGCGGCAGGCCUAACACAUGCAAGUCGAACGAGUGGCGGACGGGUGAGUAAUGUCUGGGAAACUGCCUGCUGGAGGGGGAUAACUACUGGAAACGGUAGCUAAUACCGCAUACCCUAAGAUGUGCCCAGCGGGGAUUAGCUUUGUGGUGGGGUAACUGCGCACCAAGGCGACGAUCCCUAGCUGGUCUGAGAGGCUGACCAGCCACACUGGAACUGAGACACGUUCCAGACUCCACCGGGAGGCAGCAGUGGGGAAUAUUGCACAAUGGGCGCAAGCCGGAUGCAGCCAUGCCGCGUGUAUGAAGAAGGCCUUCGGGUUGUAAAGUACGUUCAGCGGGGAGGCGUUACCCGCAGAAGAAGCACCGGCUAACUCCGUGCCAGCAGCCGCGGUAAUUC
rnacentral:rRNA from 1 species